AUACGUAGGGGGCGAGCGUUGUCCGGAAUGAUUGGGCGUAAAGGGCGCGUAGGCGGCGCGGUAAGUCUGGAGUGAAAGUCCUGCUUUCAAGGUGGGAAUUGCUUUGGAUACUGCCGCGCUUGAGUGCAGGAGAGGUUAUCGGAAUUCCCGGUGUAGCGGUGAAAUGCGUAGAGAUCGGGAGGAACACCAGUGGCGAAGGCGGGUAACUGGACUGCAACUGACGCUGAGGCGCGAAAGUGUGGGGAGCAAACAGGAUUAGAUACCCUUGUAGUCCACACUGUAAACGAUGAAUGCUAGGUGUAGGGGGUAUCGACCCCUUCUGUGCCGCAGUCAACACAAUAAGCAUUCCGCCUGGGGAGUUCGGCCGCAAGGUUGAAACUCAAAGGAAUUGACGGGG
rnacentral:rRNA from 1 species